rnacentral:ncRNA from 2 species
AACGAGGAAGCCGGUGUGAAUCCGGCGCGGUCCCGCCACUGUGAUCGGCGAGCGAGCCCCGCACAUGACCACUGCCCGCACCAGGGUGGGAAGGCGCGGAGCGCGCAUCGACCCGAGAGCCAGGAGACUC